GACGAACGCUGGCGGCGUGCCUAACACAUGCAAGUCGUGCGAGAAAGCCCUUCGGGGGUGAGUACAGCGGCGGACGGGUGAGUAACACGUGAGUGAUCUACCCGGCGGCGGGGGACAACCCAGGGAAACCUGGGCUAAUACCGCAUACAGCGGAGGGAGUAGGUGCCCUUCGUGAAAGCUGGCCUCUCCAUGGAAGCUAGCGUCGCCGGAGGAGCUCGCGGCCUAUCAGCUUGUUGGUGGGGUAACGGCCUACCAAGGCUAUGACGGGUAGCUGACGUGAGAGCGUGAGCAGCCACACUGGGACUGAGACACGGCCCAGACUCCUACGGGAGGCAGCAGUGGGGAAUGUUGCGCAAUGGGCGAAAGUCUGACGCAGCGACGCCGCGUGGGGGAGGAAGGCCUUAGGGUUGUAAACCCCUGUCAGGUGGGACGAACCCCAGGUCGGUGAAUAAUCGGCUCGACUGACGGUACCACCAGAGGAAGCUCCGGCUAACUCCGUG
rnacentral:rRNA from 1 species